AGAUGUAAAGUACCGCUGCAGAGUAUUGGGGAAGCACCCCCAUACAGACUCAUGCCUCGUUACAGCUUCCCCUAGUUGGUGGAAACAGGGAAAGCUCAGGGGAGGAGAGGGAGAGAGGAGAGAGGAGAGGAAGAAAGUGCUGAGAUGAUUUCCCUUCUCGGACCUCACUCUCCUGUGCACUCAUGUGUGGACAUGUCCUCUCUUUGGUUUCAGGGCAUCUGACACCUCACACAGACACACAUGAAGGCAAACCACCAAUGAACAUAAGAUAAGGGGAGAGAGAAAGCUGUCCCAAGCUACCACAGAACAAGGAGUCAAGACGCCUCACUUCUGCUUCUCUGUUCUCCAUCUCAGUUCACCUCCUUGUGCCCAGCGUUAGUCAACCGUGAAAGACUGAGAAACUGGGCUGCUGAGAUGGUUUAGUGGGUAAAGGCCUUGCUGCCAACCUUGACAAGCCAAGUGUGAUCCCUGGAAACCACAUGGUGGAUGGAGAGAGCGGACUUCCACACGUUGUCCUCAGACGUCCACAGAUGAAAGGUUACUGUGUUACCCUCCUUGGGCUGCUGUUGCAAAAGACUCCAAAUCCCUAGGAACAAAACAAAAUAAGUGUGUCAUCCUGAACCAACUUGCCAUGACUGAUCUAAAAGGAAGACCCUGAUCUGGGGUUCUGGACGGACAUACAUCUUGCAGAGGUGAGUUGGACCUGGGCUGGACUGCAGGGAUCGAUUAAAGCUGGCCCAGGACCCUGAUUGACCAGGCUGAGCAAACACCACGGUCCUCAUAUAGCUCCAGCCUCUUCCCCAGCUUCACUCUGCAGCUGACCCAGGCAGGGAAGUAGUCCUUUGCUUCUGCACCACGUGGUGAAACCUCAAAGGCCAAAGACCCCAGAGCCAUGCAGGGUCUCGGGACUCUGUUCCUGCUGCUGGCUGCCUCUCUGGCUUCAAAGGCUGACCCAGUGGAAACACUUCCAGACAUCCAGGUUCAGGAGAAUUUCAGCGUGUCUGGGAUCUAUGGAAAAUGGUUCAACCUGGCGAUAGGCUCCAC